ACAACAUCGCAGGUCUAACCACGGCUCUGUAGAAUUUCCCCUUGAGUUUGUGUGGGAUUUUCUUGUCACACAGGACCCCAGAAGCAAGCCUCCACUUCAUUUCUUUCUAACGCGAUGAGAAAUAGAUAGAUUUUGUGGUUAUUCAUGAAGGUUCAAGGUUUCAACUGUUGGAAUAUAGUCCAUGUUCAUGUUAACAAUAUGCUGCAGUUCUGAUUUGCUAGUCUGUGUUCCGGGCUGCUCUCAUGUCAAAGGGACGUCUGUAUACUCUCAAGUCAUGUCAUUUUUCAUUGUUUCUGUUUUACAUUCGACAUUAUGAGAACAUUAAGUCAGAAAUUUGGUAUCAAUUGAUUGUUUGCUUUAAUACCUGUUUUUUGUAUACAGUUGAGUGUGUCACUGACUUGAGGAUCCAUUACAGUCCUUUGUAUGCAUUUCGCUCUUAAGUUGUGAUUUCCUGACCUAUGCUUGAACUUGGUACCUAUGUAUUCUGUUGUUAAGAUGUUUUAUUCAAACAUCUUAAUAGUAAUAAGUUUAUUGGAGGUUUCCUUGCCUAUGUUGGACUCAUUGUGAUUUAGUUGUUGAAGUUCCAUUUCUGUUGUUAAGUGGAGUUAAUUUUUGUAUCAAAGAGACCUGAUUCUCAUUAGAUUUAAAACUCUAUGUCCAUUUGGUGAUGUUCAAGCGACCAGUUCUUCUAGUGAAUGCUUCAUGCUUCAUUCCUCCUAGU
rnacentral:lncRNA from 1 species